GUCCACUGGGUGUUUUAACGCAAGUGCUGGACGGUUCCGAAAUUUUAUCAAUCUACCAAAACUGGCAGAAUCUGCAGACAGAGCAGGCCCUGCCACCCUCUGAGAGCAGCUUUCACCAUUCUCCAAUACCCUCUGAGUUCAGUUUUCGUUCGAAUCUCCUGCAUUCUCCUCCAUAAUCAACACCGCCCUCUAAUUACAGCCGACGUUCAGCCCACCUGCGGACCCCUUUGCUGUCAACGCCUCACUCCUAUGGGCCUCGCGGUAGAAAUCGUUAUUCAGCCCGAUAUUCCCUUCGUCAUUACAACGAUCAGCGACGCGGAGAAAGACUGGAGCGUGUGCAGGUGGCUGACGUUCUUCACUGGUUACUGGAUCGAAUUGUACAAUCAGAGCCUCCUGUGUACAAUUCCAGACCCAAAAUGGCAUGUCUGAAAACAGGUAUAGCGACAACACCAGCAGCGGCAGCGAUACCAAUAGUGAAAGCGAACGUGAAGAUCCUGGACGGGUUAAAGGCGCCGGACUUAUCCUUGUGGCGGAGAGAAGAAAAUGAUGUAAAAGCUGAAUGGCAUGUCUUUUUGAUGAUCGGGCCUGCGUGUGACCCAGGAAGUCUCUUACUCUUAGUUUUCUUCAUCACCAUCAGCCCCGAGCCCUCUUGAUUUUCUUCGCUUCCUCGAGUCAUAGCUCCGGACACGGCCCCAGCCACCACAUCUUUGACGAUAUUCUUAGCGGCCGAUUUAAUGUGUGGUUUGACAAUUUCAAAUCCUCCUUUCAAGAGAAGCAAACCUCUUCUAAACAGACCGCGAAAUAUACUACCGAUCCCAGAACCAUA